AAACUAAAUUUUAAGAAAUUUUACCCAUCCACAAGACCACAACCUAUAAAUUAUUGGGCUGAGGGGAAACGAGGAUUACAUUUAACUUUUCGCAAAAAGCUAUAUAGAAGGAUUCCGUGUUCGAAUUGAAGAAGAAAUGAAUUUAGCCUGAACACAUCUUGAUUGUGACUUUUGCAACUAUCUGGAAAAGCAAAAUGGCUUCGUCCUCUUCCUUGUCUUCAACAGAAGAAACCAAGCGCAAGCUACUUUUAAAGACGAAGCAGCUGGAAGUAGCGAUCGCGGAGCUCAAGAGUCUUCAUCCUUCACGGCCUGUUUAUGAGAAAAAAUGCGGACUGUUCUUUCGUACAGAUGUAAAAUCAGCCACAACUUCACAAGAAAGAGAGCUAGACAAAAGUAGGGCACAGCUUCAGAAGAUGUAAGUCAUUUGAAUAUUGUAUCCAGGUUGGAAAAAUCAUUAUAAGAAUGCACGCAGAAAGACUUCUGGUUGGGUUAUCUUCCAUAAAAUUUUCAGAAGUAAACUAUCCAGUUUGAACACAGAAGUAAUAUACUUUUUCCUUGUUGGUUUAUUGCAUGAAUUUGGUUUUAUAGAAAAUUAUUUGGUUGGAUAUAUAGUGGCCCAUACACAAUUUGUGAGGAAGGGAAAGGGAACUCAAGGACUGGAAAGAGUAUGUACAAGUCAAUCUGAUUACUCAAAAUUUUGUAAUAUUGAUGUUUAUCUUGGACAAUUUUCAUAUUAUUGGGACAGUUAUUUUUUGUUUCGUAAAGGCUACUUUCUGCCUUUCUCUGUUAGCAUAGGUUGAUUAGCUCAUUGGCAGGGGUUUUAAUCCUUUGUUAGAGUCAUGUUGUUCAGUUCCUACUUGGAUUUUCUCAGUUAGUUUGGUACACAUGCCCUUCUUUUCCAAUACAUCCCUAUAACUAAUUAUAAAAACCCAAGAAUGCAUUGGUAAUUUAUUAGAAAGACAACUUGAAGGUCUA